rnacentral:rRNA from 1 species
AUGUUGCUCAUAUGUGCUGAAGGGUUCUCAGCCAUGUUACAUAAAGCAGAAGCAAAUCAAAGAUUGAAAGGGAUUAAAAUCUGUAGGCAAGCCCCAAGUGUCAGCCAAUUAUUAUUUGCAGAUGAUUCAUUAUUGUUAAUGGAGGCAAAUGCCAAUGCAGUCGAGGAAGUGAACAGAAUCUUGCAUAUUUACGAAGCAUGCUCAGGACAGAUGAUCAAUAAGGAAAAAUCAGCAAUAAUGUUCAGCAAGAACACCGAGGAAAGAAAAAGAAAUGAGAUGAAGAGGAUCUUAGGCAUCAAUAUUGAAGGUUUUUCAGGCAGAUACUUAGGUCUACCAGUAUACAUAGGCAAGAACAAAACAAAGACCUUCAACUUUAUAAGGGAGAGAGUCUGGAAGAAAAUCCAGGGAGGAAAUGAGAAAAUUUUAUCAAAAGCAGGAAAGGAGAUAUUGAUUAAAGCAGUUGCUCAAGCAAUACCAGUUUACGCCAUGUCAUGUUUUGAUCUCACAAAAUCAUUUUGUGAGGACUUAAGCUCUAUGAUCAAUCGUUACUGGUGGAGCCAGAUGGACAAAGAAAAUAAAAUUCAUUGGGUAAGCUGGGACAAAUUGACAAAACCAAAGAAGGAUCGAGGUUUAGGUUUUAGGAACUUACAUUUUUUUAACCUUGCCAUGCUGGCCAAGCAAGCAUGGCGCAUCAUUCAGAACCCCUCCUCACUUUGUUCACGAGUGCUAGCAGCACGAUACUUCCCUAAUGGUUCGCUUUUGCAAGCAACUCCAAGUGCAGGCAUAUCCUAUGCAUGGUGA